rnacentral:rRNA from 1 species
UACAGAGGGUGCGAGCGUUAAUCGGAAUUACUGGGCGUAAAGCGUGCGUAGACGGUUUAUUUAAGUCGGGUGUGAAAGCCCCGGGCUCAACCUGGGAAUUGCAUUCGAGACUGAAUAGCUAGGGUACGGUAGAGGGAAGUGGAAUUUCCGGUGUAGCGGUGAAAUGCGUAGAUAUCGGAAGGAACACCAGUGGCGAAGGCGACUUCCUGGCCUGAUACUGACACUGAGGCGCGAAAAGCGUGGGGGAGCGAACAGG